CUUUCUUCCUCCCUUCCCUUUGCACUUACACUUCCCGUUCUCCUUCCUGCCCUCCUUCUUCCUUUCCUCCCUUCCUUCCUUUCCUACUGAGGAGUCUCUACGUGUUGUCAGAGACAUCUCCUCUUCAUCAACUCCCUGUGACCCCUGUUUCUCAGACUUGGAGGGAAAUAAGGGCACACAAAUUGUGACCAUGGAGGUGGGGCAAGGCUGCUAGGAAGAACAGGGAGUGUCUGAGGUAGUGAUUCUCCUACCUCAGCCUCCCAAGUAGCUGGGAUUACAGGUGUGUGCCACCACAGGCAGCUAAUUUUUGUAUUUUUUUUCAGUAGAGAUGGAUUUUACCAUGUUGGCCAGGCUGAUCUCUUGAACUCCUGAGCUCAGACAGAAUUUUGCUCUUGCCACCCAGGCUGAAGUGCAGUGGCACUCGGCUCAGUGCAACCUCUGCCUCCCAGAUUCAAGCAAUUCUCCUGCCUCAGUCUCCACAGUAGCUGGAACUACUGCCUCCCAGAUUCAAGCAAUUCUCCUGCCUCAGUCUCCGCAGUAGCUGGAACUACAGGGAACAUGACAUCCUCUUCCCAGGGUACACCCACCUGCAGAGGGCCCAACCCCAUCACUGGAGCCACUGGAUUCUGAGACUUGAGUGCAAUGGCACGAUCUCAGCUCACUGCAACCUUCACCUCCGAGGUUCCAGUAAUUCUCCUGGCUCAGCCUCCCAAGUAGCUGGGAUUACAGCUGAGUUCCUGUUCUAGGCUUCAUUCUGCAUGACCCAUCUCAGCAGGAUGGCCAGGGACCUCAUCCUCUGUGGCACCAAGGAAUUCAGCUUCAUGUAGCUCUCA